rnacentral:lncRNA from 1 species
CUUAGGGUCAGCAACGGCCACGCCAGGUGCCUCUCCCUCCAGGUCCGUGUGCAUCACUGCCCCAGAGUCCGCGUGGCCCAGCCGCCCGCACCCCGGCCCAGGCUGGGCGCUCGCAAUGGGUCCUGGGCUCCCGGAGUCCCGCACCCGGAGGGCAGGCAGCCGGCCAGGAGCGCCAGCUCGCCUCAGAGUUGGUGGGAGUCGCGCUUUUGCCCAGGUUGGGUUGGAGGGCUCUGCCUGAGAGGGCGCCCCCGCAGAGCCGGCCUCUUAGAGUCGCUUGCCUCGCACCUCCUUUCCUCUUUUCCUUCCAGUCUCUGCCGCUUUUCCCACCAUCAGAGAUUCAGGAAGGGCUGUGAAGCAGCUCUGCCGUGGGCGACCACGACAGACAAGGACCUGCCCCCUAGAACUCACCUUCUGCUGGGGGAGAGGCAGGACCAGGAACACCCCUAACUGCACAGCUGCAGUCUGUGAGAAGGGCAAGGAAGAAGCCAGAGCGGGGUGGGGGUACAGUGAGGGGCGGGACCACUUUAGAUAGGCCUCCGAGGAGGGGGUGUUUACGCUGACCGUGAACGAGAAGAGGGAGCCCGUCUUUGGAUGAUCUGGGAGAGAGCUUUCCAGGUGGAUGGAACAGCAAAGGCAAUGGCCGCGAGGUGAGCCAGAGGAGGCACGUUUGAGGCACAGCAGAGAUGGGUAUUGGGGAGGGUGUGCGGGCUGUGGCCAUCCGGUGGUCCCCGGAGCGCACUUUGAGAAACACUGUUAGCUCUAGGUGUUGGGUCAGGUCCCCGCCUUCCUCUCCCCUCUGAAAAUUGGCGUUUCUAUCUCUUUUCCUUGCUUACUGUCUGUCUUCCAGCUAGAAAUCAAGCUCCAUCGGGGCCAGGGUUAGUGCUCUCCCUCCAGCAUCUUCCACGCUGCCAGGCAUGGACAGAACAGACCAGGCUUCUGACAUAAACGCUGUGGGAACGCUCAGGACAGUGCUAUGGGAUGGAUCUGGUCAUCUCAGAGAGACCUGGGGCUUGCUGAAGCCCCAGGGGGAGGAUGUGGAGCAGUUCUCAGACUUUAUUAUGCAUCCAAAUCCGGGUUCUUUGCAGGACUUGUUAAAACCCAGAUGGCAGUCCCCCCCGCCCCCCCGACAAGUUUCUAUUCAGUAGGGUUGCUGGGGGGCCCUUAGAACAAGGUCCCUGGUGGUGCUGGUGCUACUGGUCUGGGGAUCCCGCUUUGAGAACCACUGAUGUUGAAGACUUGAAACUCAACCCUGCUGGGUCUGACUUCAGAGCCCACAGGAGCUGCCAGAUCCAGCGGGGCCUCGGGGCCUGACGCCUUGCUUCCUCUUGUGUAGGAUCAGGUGGACCUGGUGAGCGCCUCAGGGAAGGGCUGUCCCUGGGGGCUAGGCCUUUCCGAACACUGUGUGCCUCAGUGAAAUGUUGGGGUGACCUGUGGAUAGAAGACCCCGAAACUUCUGUCUUACUGGUAGAGCCCAUCAGUAAGGACGGUCCCUCCCUCCCACCCCCUAUCCACCCCCCACAUGCACAGACUCACUUGCUGUGCCCAGGAGUUAAAUUACUGCCUGGUCUUAUCCCCGACUUGUGCUAAACUACGUCCAAUAAAAUUCUUUUAAAUCCUUUUAAGGAAUUCCCUCUUCGCAGUUUCUCCCUCCCUUUAAAGGCUUCCAGAUUUUCAGCUCUUCCCUUCAUAUUUUCAUUUCCCUCUUGAGAAGCAUCCUUCCCGAGCUGUUGUGUGGAAAUGGAUGCUGAUGGUGCCUGUGAGAGUUCCCUGAGAAGACAGGAGCCGUGGAUGCUUGCUGAGCACCUACGAGGGCUAUUCGUAGACAUCAGAGGCACAAACUGGGCCAGUCGGUGGGCUCUGGCUCACAGACCUGUUUUAUUGGGCCCUGCUGGGUUAAAAUUUUUUUAAAAAUUUUGAAUUAGUUGCCAAUCUUUAAAGAUCGGGAGAUUUCACAUAAAUUUUUUUCUUCUGAAACACUGGGAGAUGUGGCUGACAUCCCUCACGUGAGCAGUGUGCUGGGGCCGGGUCAUCCCCUCCCUUGCCUGUGGUUUGGGCCUCAGCCCACAUCAUGUCACUUAAAUUACCAACGGGCCCCUGGAAGCAGGAGCUGCUGACCUCUCAUCUUGGUAAAUUGUCUAAGGUCACACAGGAAAUGGCAAAGCUGGAUCUGAACCCAGGGCUGUCUGACCUGAAAGCCCAACUUGUCACUAGAAAACAAGCUGCUCUUAGUUUUGGGGGCAGGAGGAGGAUGUGGCCUCCCUGGCCCGGAGGAAAUACCUUAAAAGGGAGUCACAGUUAGCGGUUAAAGGACAGGCGUUCCUUCUCAUUCAUAGCCAACUCUCGGUAAGUCAUAAAGUUCUGGGUUGUUUUUCCAGGGCACGAAGGGUUACCCAGAGCUGUCCACGCCGUUUGUCCAUUCUUCCCCUUGAGAUGAAAAGGCUUAGAUUUGCAAGACAACUGGCUUCCACAGAACCGGUUCCUUCAGGUCGCCGUCAAUGGUCACCUCAGGACUCCGGGAGCCGGGAGCCGGGCGCAGCCAGUGAGGCUGAGGUGUGCAAAGGGACAACUUUCUUUAAGUCUUUAUUUUAAAAGUUGGUAUUUUGCUCACCAUGGAUUGGUUUUGCACUAAAUUUGAUUCUUAAAAAAUAUCAUAUCAAAAUUUUAUUUAUCUUGAUUCCUGAGCUUUUUGGCGCCUCCUUAAAUUUCACCCCCAGGCGAGAGCCCCACCGGCCUCAGUCCAGCCCCAGCUCAGCUCCUGGUCCAGGGUGCUGUGGACUGGGAGUCAGGAGACCUGGCUUCUGGUCCAGCUUGUGCCACUAGACCAGCUGUGUGACUGAAUGCAUGUACCCUCGGCGCCCUGAGCCGCUCAGCUGCACCAUCUCUCCAGGGACGGGCUAUUCCUGGCUCUAGUUCUAGAAUGAUCCAAGACACUCCUUAGAACUCUGAUAGGUUGUGUAUUGUAUGCAUCUCCUGGGGGCUUUGGGCCUGUUUUAGGCCUCUGACUCUGGCCAUUAUGUCACCGGCCUUUCCCCAUCCCAUGUGAGGUGAUCCUCUGUGCAAACACCACAUCUUCGUGGCUGCUUUGUGCAAUGAGCGUUGAUGCCCUUGUCGUUUUCCCCAUCCUGGGGGGAGUUUCAGUUUUGGAGGUGUGGUCGUGCCCUUUAUUCUUGCUUCUUGCUCUUUGGUUCCAAUCACUGGAUCAUGUGACACACCUUCAUUAGGAAGCUUCCCAAAUGCCAAGUGCUGAGCAACCACUCAGGAUACAAAAGAAACCUGUCCAGCCCUGGAAGAGCUGACGUUCUAGCGAGGGAGCCAGCACAUAAGCAGACCCGUGUGCUGAGAGAAGUGUGCCCGGGGUAGAGGACGUCCAGCUCAGUGAAGGUCACCUUGAGAGGACGGUGCACUGUCCUUCCUCCUGGGGGGACCCUGCAUCCUGGGGGCUGUCUCCAAGUGCCAGCGGCCCAGAGCAGUGGGCAGUCACCUUCCUAAUGGACUCUCCGCCAUAGAGAGCUGUGGUGUGACAUUUUGCAUCCACACUUGAAUGGGCGAAGCUCUGAGUUACAGCUUUCAGUUCCUUCUAACUCCCCAUCUCCCUCCAUCCCUCCUCUGGAUUGUGGCUUGUUCCUCAGUUGUUCCUAGUUCUGACAACCCUCAAAACCUGUUUCAAAGUGCACCUCCCUCUUUCAGUUCUCCUCCGCUGCUCCAGCCCUCAGGGGACUCUUCUCUCACUUUUUUUCCAAAGCCUUUAUCAACUAAUAGACCUUCUGCCUGGAGCUUAAUUAAGAUCGGUCCAGAGUUUCUUGUUGCUUCAGCAAAGCCGGAAUGUAAUGGUUCUUGCAGGGAGAGGGCACUUGCCUGGCAGUCAGUAACAGCUGGGAGGGCUCUGCUCCUCCACUCAGAGGGUACAAACAGAUGUAUCUGGCUAGCCUUCUGUGUUUUAAAAAUAAUGAAUUAUGUGCCAAUACUUGAAAAUCAGGAGAUCUCAAAUAAAACUCUGGGUUUUCGGCUUCCCUUGAAAACUUAGAAGUUGUGCCAACCCUGAGCCUACAUUCCUCCCUGGCAAAAAUUGGCUAGAUCUGGUAGCACCUUUUUCCUUAAGUGGGGCAUGGGUCUUCCAGUUUGCCACAAUCCCCACUACUCCUUAAUGUCUAACAUUAGGCUCCCUUUACUUAUCUACUUUACCUUCCUGGCCCCUAGAGGAUUUUGAGAUUUUAAUCCCUUCUAACUUUUUUCUUUAAGAGGGUAGACAGCUCAUCAGAGCACUAUGCACUGGCUGAUGCUUAGCAUGGCCCAAAGGGAGGCUGGGCAUCACUCUGAAAAUUGUUGGGGAGGUGGGGAGGGGACACUUAGGAGGGUGCUUGCUGUGAAUCAGUCUGAAGAGUCUUAGUAUCAACGAACUCCAGUGUUGGAACUUGGCUGCUACCAUGCUGCUUUACCUGGACAUGUAGAGAUAUACUUAGUGUGAACAUAAAACAAUAAAUUUAUAAAAAUUAACUAACUUAUCAAGAGCACUUACUAUGUGCCAGAUACUGUUCUCAGAUUUUUACGUUUAAUUUCACAAUAACCCUGUGUGGUCACCACUGUUACUUCUCCCAUUUUAGAGACAAGGGACCUGAGACGCAGGUAGGUAACUUGCUCGGGAAUGCACAGCCAGAAAACAAGAGGCUGCAAUUGCACCAGACACAGAAUGCCUGGAACCUGGAUUUUACCAGGAUUGGAGGUACCGGCAGGUGAUGGGUUUUUCUAUUGUUGUCUUCUCUGCAUCAUCCAUUUCCUGGGGCUGUAAUCUGUUUCCCUCCUGCCAGGAGGCUGUGAAGUUUGAGGCUUCCUUCCCUUGGCACCGGGCUGAAGUUAGCUGGCCCCCAGCUCUGCUACUGUAGGCUCUUUGAUCUGGAGACACACUGGACUACACGGCUUCAGCAAGAGGAGGACAGGGGAGGGCUGGGGCAAGAAAGCAGGGGCUUUGCCAGCCCAGACCAGGUCCCCUCAGACAGCCCAGGGAUCCCAGAAGUGCAGGGCCCACCUGCCAGCCCCUGGGCAUGAGCUCGUAGCCCCUGUGUCCCCACGUCUGAGGUCAGCGCCCGGAUGCUGAGCUCCGAGCAUCCGUCUUGCUGCAAUGGAAGAUUUGAAUCCCCUUGUCGUCACUUUGCAUUGCUUCUGGGCUGUGUUCCCUCUUAUUUCAUUUUCGUCUGAAAUCCUGAGCUCACCCUCCUCGGCAGCUGACGGGCCCAUUUAUUUCCAAGGCUGCAGCCAGUCGGAGGGCUGCCGACAGCUCCGCGGAGCGCUCUGGGUUUGUGCCACCUCGUUUUGUUCCUGCAGACAGGGCUGGGAGACCAGAGAACAUCUUCAUUUUGCAGCAGCAAAGCUGUCAGAGCCUUCAGCCUCAGCCCUCAUCCUCUUGGGCCUGAGAUGCAUUUGGUUUGCCCUAGAGGGCACUGCCCGGGUUGACUCUGUCCCUUGGUCUUUCGUCCUUUUGGACUCAAAACCUUGAGAGCGUGCAGCCUGUGCUUUGCAAAUGUCCUGUCAAAUGCCCCUGAUUUGUCACAGUUGGAACAGCUCCUAGAGAUCGUGUUGUCAGAUCUUCUCGCAGUGUUCAGAUAAUGAAACAAAGCCCAGAGAGGGCAAGAGACUCAUGGGGAAUUGCACAGCAAGUGAGAGGCAGAACAAAACUGACAGGCUCCGGCCCCAGCCAUUUCACAUUAUUCCAGUCCACCUCUUCAGAAUCUCAGAAGGCCAGCCUCAAGGGACUCCCCUCACGAGGCAUCAUCUACCUGCAAGGCUCCUCCGCCAGCACUUCAGGGCACUGCUGCUCCUCCCCUUCCGGCCUCAGCUCAGAUGUCCCCUCCUCAGGGAGGCCCGCCCCUCCUGCCUUGUCUGAAGCACCCUCCAGUCACUCUCCAUCACAUUCUCUGACAUCCUCCAUUGUUUUGUCCUCAGAGCUCUGAUCAGUACCUGCAAAGAUCUCCUAUCAGAGUUUAAUUUGCAUUUUUGUUGUCGCUCCCACCAGAAUGCGAGCUCCAUCUCCCACCAGAAUGCGAGCUCCACCAGGCAGUGACCGCGUCUGUGUCUGUCUCACUCGCCUCAACCUCUCCAGUAACCUCGCCAGUACCGGCACACAGAGGCGCCCCGCAUGUCUGCGCAUGUGGAGUGAAGGGAUGAAGGGAUUUCAGGGACUUCCAAUGGUCCCUAAACAAGAGCACAGUUUUCAUUUCUUUCAGCACAGAUCCACUUUGCGUCUUCUGGAAUUUCACGCGAAUGGAAGCUUACGGAGCGUCCUCUUUGGCGUCUGCCUUCUUUUCCUCAGCAUCAAGCUCCACGCUCAGCAUCCGUGUUGAGUCUCCUGUCUUCUGCCGGCAUCCAUAAAACUGCGGUGGGCUCACUUGCUAGCUUGCAGCCACCACCACUCCGUCAGACACCCGGUGUCUCACUGGGCCCCUCGCCGGUGCUGAGUAAGCAUUAAUUUCACCACGCCAGAAAGUUGAAUCUGAGAGCACAUCCUUUCAAUAGAGGUAACAGCAAGAGCAGGCUUGUGAGUAGGAGAGAUCGGUGAAGACUGAAACGCUCGGGUCGCUGCACAUGCCUGGGGCCGGGGAGCUGAGCAGCAGCCGAAGGCAGGGACACACACUCGCUCCUGCGUCUCAGUUGUGGUAGCUGCAGCCUCAGCUGGGACGCAUCUGGCUGCAAAUCAACAGGCAAUUCCCGUGCCCACUGCCUUUUAUCCCCAUGGCUGUUCUACCUCCAGCUCUGUGUUCGGGAAUGGAGCCAGAGCCGUCGGAAGGGAUGGGCAGGGUGCCACAGCCGGAAGAUGGCGGGUUUUGAGUGUGUGGCGCAGGGUCCAAAUGCCGGCUCCGUCACUCUGCGCUCUGAGAGGACAUGGGUGAGUCAUUUAAGCUGCUCUGGGUCUCAGAUGCUUCACGGAAAACCAGGAUCAUUGUACCUUCAGCAUCGUUUUUUAUAAAAACGAAGGUGUGAAAUUGUAUGGGUGAGGUACAUGGUAUCUGGCAGCUGUGGUUAUGCCAAGGAGGGUCAUUGAUUGCUGCAUACGCAGCAUACACUAGGCCUGGCGCUUUGAGUUUUCACGUGUGAUCACGUGUAUCCCUCACAGCAAGCCUGUGAGGGAUUUCCACUCUCCUUCUUCUUACUCGAGUGAGGAAAUUGAGGGGCAGAGCCCAGGCCAUGGCCCAAGGUCUCAGAGCUCCUGCGUGGCCCAGGAGGGAGACGAACCCAGGCCAAUUGCCACCCGAGCAAGGUGCUUCCCUGCCUUGCUGUCGGCAGACUCUGCGGACCACACCCGGGGCCUCCCCCAGAGGCCGGUGACCCAGACCUAGCUGCUCAAAGGACUGUGCCCCUUGUGUUGGGCGGUCUGCUGGACCGACUGUGUAGUUUGCAGGGUCCAGUGCACAGGGAAAAUGCAGGGCCCUUGUUCAGAAGACAUUAAGAAUUUCUGGAUGGUGACAGCAGAGCAUUCAACCAAGCACAGAGCCCUUCUGAACAGGGGCCCACAGGUCGUAGGCCCAGGCAGCCGGCCCCAGUGGUCUUCACUGGGCUGUGCCUCCCAGGAGACUGGGGGCACGCUGUGGGCUCCCUCUGAAUGUUUUGUCAGCCUCCUAACUUCUCUGAAGACCCAAAGGAAACCCUGAGAUAUGCUAAGCAGGCCCAACACAAACCCUGAAAAUCUUCCUGGCUGCACUUAGCUCCAGCAAGAAUAUGACUGGAUCCACAUGAAAUGGUUACUUGUGACUCAGGCUGGCCAAGAGCCCUCACCUGCCCAACAGGUGAGGUCAGAAAACUCCACAGGCAGGCUCCUCAUGUUCCCUCUCCAGUUUACAACCUAAGAAAUUAUCAUAAUCAUUACAUUAAUUCUUAGUUAUAGUAAUAAUAAUAAUAAUAGUUUUCAACAGUAAUUUACUCUGUAGUCAGCAUUCACAUUUACUUAACUUACGCAGGUUAUAGACUUUCUGAAAAAUCAGUGUUACUGAACCAAUCUGUUCACGUCCAAAGUUAUAAACUGUAUUUCUUGUUCUGAAAAACUCUUUUUUUUUUUUUUUGCUGGGGAAGAUCCCUCCUGAGCUAAUAUCUGUUGCCAAUCUUCUUCUUUUUCUGUAUGUGAACCACUACCAUAUCAUGGCCGCUGACAGAUGAGUGGUGUAGGUCUGAGCCCGGGAACUGAACCUGGGCUGCCAAAGUGGAGGGUGCUGAACUUAACCACCAGGCCCCUGGGGCUGGCCUUGAAAAACUCUUAAUGCUGCAGUUUCCUGCAAAAUUCAGCACAAGAUUCCAACACUUCUCAAAUCGUUGAGCACAAGGAAGAAUACCCUUCUCAUCCCCCACCCAACACACACAUACAGCAUCAAUUAAUUACAUUAUUAUAAAUAAAAUGCUGUGGUGUAACAUUCCCGGCCCAGACUUGUCCUCACACAGGCCUCUGUCUGGCCACGCUGCUCGUGGCCAGCUUCAUAAUUUGGGUUCCAGACACGGGUCCAUACAUCCAAGCGAGGGGAACUGCUCUGGCCCACCUCACAGGCAGGCAGGACCACCACGCACCGACGUGACCCGCCUUACAAACAGGAGACCUGAGACGGGUGGUCAGAGAGCUGUAAGCAGCCUGGCUGGGGAGCGUCGAGUCACUCGAGUGGGCUGUUGGGGAGCCCCCAGCUGGCCCACUGAACUCGACAUUGUCUCACGUCCACCUCCCCAGGAGUCUCUUUGCAGCAGGUAUAAAUCUUAGUCCAUAAAAUUGGGCGUGCCAAAAAAAAGAAGUAGCACAUUUCUCUAUUUUCUUUCACUUCAAGUGGUGGCAGAUUCAGUCUCAGUCGUGGAUGGGGUUUUCUUUUCCCCCCACAACAGCCAGGCAUGUGCCAAGGUCCUGAGAGUGCCAGGCAGCGGGAAGGCCCUGGCUUCUGUCCCCGGUUGGGGGCACAGGCAUCUCCAUCGUGGCUGGGCAUCCCCUGCAUCGCCCGAGGACGGUCGUCCUCCCCUGGGGGCGAUUUUGCCCCCGCCCCCCAGGGGCAUUUGUCUGGGGACUUUUUUGGCUCCCACAACUGGCACCUCGUGGGGAGGGCCACUCAUGCAGCUAAAGUCCCUUCAACGCAUGGGACAGCCCCCUGCAGGAUAAAGAAUUAUUCUGUCCCGAUGUCGAUAGUGCUGAGGCUGGGAAACCCUGCCCUCAGAGGUUCUCAAGCCCCUAUUUCCCCAGCCUUCUGACUUCUGGCCACUUUAUAAUCUGGCAACUUCUUUUCCUUUCUCUUCAUGUUGUUCUGAAUGUAACUUCCCUCUCUAUUCUUGUUCUCUGCUAAACUACCUCACCAGUCAAAGAGCCCAGUUGUUCAUCCGCCACAGAGAUGACCCGUAACUGGUCGAAGCCAUCAUUUCCACACCCUAGUAUUAGAGACUGGCUUUUCCAGCCUCUCUUCCAGCUAGGGCUUGCCAUGUGACAUAGUUCUGGCCAAUGAAAUGUAAGGAGACAUGUGCUGGGGGCCUCUGGAAAAGAGAUUGCUCCUUGUGUGAGGUGUUCUGGAGAGGAGAGCUGUCUGGUGUCAGCCACCAUGAUUUUCCUGCCUGGAACAACCACGUGAGGAUGUAAGGUGUAGGGCUGUGGCAGCCGUCUUGCAACCAUGAGGUAAGUCAGGAGAAUUGCAGACAUGAGCCACCAAAUGGACCCUGGAAUCAUCCACUUCCAGGUCUCUUGUUAAAUAAGCUACAAAUGUCCUUAGAGUUUAGACCAUACUUGAUACACUUGGGCAAACCUCUUAACCUCUCUCUAUCUUACUCUUGUGUAAGAAGGGAAGAAUAAAUGCUUCCUGCAUAAAGUUGUUAUGGAGAUUUAAUGAGAUGACGUAUGUAAAGCAUUUGACUAAGUGCCUGGAAUAUAAUAACUAUUCAAUGUAUUGCAAAUGUCUUUGUUACUGUCCCUAUGAACCGAAUUAAUUGGGGAUGAUAUUACGGGUCUUCCGGUAAAUUUCUUCUACUGAUUGAUUGUUCACUCAAUUAUCCAACAAACAGGUAUUAGCGCCUGCCAUGCUAAGAUACUGGAAAUGAUAGGAAGUUAUUUAAGAGAAUACAAUUAGGGGGAAAUGAUACCUGAGAGGUUGUAUAUUAGAUCCCAGCAAAAUUCUCUUUUAUUCAAGAGCUGGAUUUUGUAAACUUUAGUUUCUGUAUUCUGUCAUUGUAUGUGUCAUAUCCAUGUACCAUGUCCUUGCCCUGGUACAAUAGCUGUACUGUUAUUGACUUAAAAUUUUUCUUUAAACCAACUUACUCUUUUGGGUUAAAUAGAUUUAUUUUUAAAAGAAACUUUAUAUCACUAUGGUAAAUGAACAACCAACAUCACUAGCCAUAAACAAAAAAUAGCCAAAAUAUAAA